rnacentral:rRNA from 1 species
UUAUUUUUAAUGUAAAAAAUAUAAAACUGGAGUAUUAAUAGUUAUGAUCUUAAAACUUAAAGAAUUUGGCGGUAUUAUAGUCUAUUUAGAGGAAUCUGUUAUGUAAUUGAUAAUCCGCGUUGAACCUUACUUAUAUUAAUUCUUGUAUACCGCUGUUUAAGAAUAUAUUUUUAUAUAAUUUUCUUAAUAUGUUAUUAAAUAAAAUUUCAAGUCAAGGUGCAGUAAUAUUUAAGUUGAAUAAUGGAUUACAGUAAAUUGUAUUUAUUAUGGAUAAUUGUUGAAAUAUAAUUUNGAAGGUGGAUUUAAUUGUAAUUUUAUAAAGAUUAUUAAAAUGAUUURAGGCUC